AGCGGACCGGUCCCACAGCGGCGGCCAUGGUCAGGGCGCUGCGAUCGGAGCGGGCGGCGGGACGCAGUGCGCGGCGACGGCGAGGGGCGCGGUGGGCCGGAGCCGGGAGCGAGCUCUGAGCGCAGGUAGUAAAAAGAAGAAGUAAUGAACAGGACUUGACUUCCAAAUCUGAAAAAGAUCCUUGGUGGUAAAAAAAGAUUUACCUGGACAUCUAAUAACACAGGCAUCCAAUUGCAAAUAACUAACCACAUACAACUCUGCUUAGUGCAUUGCAAUGAUCCAGUUUCUGAAGAAUGCUUCCUAGCUGGAUGGACUGCCUCUCAAAAUAUUGCUUUCCCAAGCUCUGACUAUUAUCAACGAGAAUAUAUCUCAUGGGGUUCAUCUUGUGAGUCUUCUAGGAAAAGCAAAAGGGAAAGUCAACUUUAUGCUACAAAUGAGAGAUCCUGAAGGAGAGAGAGAAUUGCAGUCUGCUGUGGGUUUGAUGUGGGGAAGAUUAAAGGAGGAGAGUCAACUGAUGCUCCAGGCUCUUCAUUCCUGGGACAGCAAAGUCUGGCCUGGGGUGUGGCCGGGAGACCUGAUGGCAAUACUGGAGAAGGGGCAGCGCGGUGAGCAGGAGAGAAAUAGCGUAUCUGAGCUCCCAUUUCUUUUCUCUUUCCAUGUCUUCCUGUCAUGCUGUCAUUAGGGUUGUCACACCUACUAUGUCUUGGAGAGAAAGAAAUAUAAUAGAAACUGGAGAUGUUUAGGCAUCCUCACAGGCCAAAAGACAAUCUGUGGAAAGAAGGAGUUUGAAUGUGGUGAAAAGCAUCAGGGACUAUUUCAGUGAGGAAAGGGGACUGAUGUGACUGGAUGGGUAAGGUUUCCCCCAUUUCUCUAAUCAUCUGUUGCAGCUUGGAGGAUGGUAAUGUUUGGAAAUGAGAAUCCAAUCCCACUUGCCAAGAAACAGCUUUUGUAGAUCUUUGGUUUUUGUCUUUGUCUUUUGUGGUGCCCUCAUGCAUGCUAGAUAAAUGCUCUGCCAUUGAGCUACAUCCCUAACCCUUUUUAUUUUCUAUUUUGAGAAAGUGUCUCUAUAAAUUACUGGAGCUGGCCUUAAACUUGCUAUCCUCCUGCCUCAGCAGCCUAAGUAGCUGGGAUUACACACAUGAGCCACUACACUUGACUUUGGAGAUGUUUAAUGCUUCGUAAGUAUUACUUUAUAUAGAGUGUCCCCAAAAUAGACAUUUUAAAAUUAAUCUGAAGUACAGUAAUAAGGAUUAUACAAUAGGGUCUGUGUAGAAAGGUUAAAGCAAAUAUAGCUAGAGAAAAUCUGAUGGCUUUGGAGUUCUGUUUUAUAAGCAGGGAAACAUCUUACUAAAAAGGUACAUCUGAUGGUAUUGUUCUAGCCCAGGAAAAAAGAAAGGCAAUCCACAUACCCCUGGAAUCAGGAAUAUAGUUACUGAUGUAAAUGACUGGAUAACAUGACAAUUGGAGAGUACCAGGAGAUUCCCCUUAGUUCUAAAUAUAUUUGACUGAAAGCUUAAUAUUAGUCAUUCAUUUUGACUGAAGUCUAAGAAAAGAGGAACAGAGGAUAUAAUGAGGAGGCAUAAGAACUUAACUCUCUUCUUUAUAUUUCUGUCUAGAGGUGUGCAUUAACAUAAAAUAUGAUUAUUGGCAUAGAAUACCAUUUUUAAA